rnacentral:rRNA from 1 species
UACGUAGGUGGCAAGCGUUGUCCGGAAUUAUUGGGCGUAAAGAGCUCGUAGGCGGUUUGUCGCGUCGGCUGUGAAAGCCCGGAGCUCAACUCCGGGUCUGCAGUCGAUACGGGCAGACUUGAGUGUUGCAGGGGAGACUGGAAUUCCUGGUGUAGCGGUGAAAUGCGCAGAUAUCAGGAGGAACACCGGUGGCGAAGGCGGGUCUCUGGGCAACAACUGACGCUGAGGAGCGAAAGCGUGGGGAGCGAACAGG